rnacentral:rRNA from 1 species
AGUGAACGCUGGCGGUAGGCCUAACACAUGCAAGUCGAACGGCAGCACAGUAAGAGCUUGCUCUUACGGGUGGCGAGUGGCGGACGGGUGAGGAAUACAUCGGAAUCUACUUUUUCGUGGGGGAUAACGUAGGGAAACUUACGCUAAUACCGCAUACGACCUACGGGUGAAAGCAGGGGAUCUUCGGACCUUGCGCGAUUGAAUGAGCCGAUGUCGGAUUAGCUAGUUGGCGGGGUAAAGGCCCACCAAGGCGACGAUCCGUAGCUGGUCUGAGAGGAUGAUCAGCCACACUGGAACUGAGACACGGUCCAGACUCCUACGGGAGGCAGCAGUGGGGAAUAUUGGACAAAGGGCGCAAGCCUGAUCCAGCCAUACCGCGAGGGUGAAGAAGGCCUUCGGGUUGUAAAGCCCUUUUGUUGGGAAAGAAAAGCAGCAGGUUAAUACCCCGCUGUUCUGACGGUACCCAAAGAAUAAGCACCGGCUAACUUCGUG